rnacentral:rRNA from 1 species
CAGCAGCCGCGGUAAUACGGAGGGAGCUAGCGUUAUUCGGAAUUACUGGGUGUAAAGCGCACGUAGGCGGCUUGGUAAGUUAGAGGUGAAAGCCUGGAGCUCAACUCCAGAAUUGCCUUUAAGACUGCCGAGCUAGCAGGUGAGAGAGGUAAGUGGAAUUCCGAGUGUAGAGGUGAAAUUCGUAGAUAUUCGGAAGAACACCAGUGGCGAAGGCGGCUUACUGGCUCAUACUGGACGCUGAGGUGCGAAAGCGUGGGGAGCAAACAGGAUUAGAUACCCGCGUAGUCCCUGUCUCUUAUAC